UACGUAGGGUGCGAGCGUUGUCCGGAAUUACUGGGCGUAAAGAGCUCGUAGGUGGUUUGUCGCGUUGUUCGUGAAAACUCACAGCUCAACUGUGGGCGUGCGGGCGAUACGGGCAGACUGGAGUACUGCAGGGGAGACUGGAAUUCCUGGUGUAGCGGUGAAAUGCGCAGAUAUCAGGAGGAACACCGGUGGCGAAGGCGGGUCUCUGGGCCGAUAUCGACGCUGAGGAGCGAAAGCGUGGGGAGCGAACAGG
rnacentral:rRNA from 1 species